UGAAGCGGCAAGAGCUCAAAUUUGAAAUCUGGCCCCUCCGGGGUCCGAGUUGUAAUUUGCAGAGGAUGCUUCGGGCGCGGUCCCCGUCUAAGUACCCUGGAACGGGUCGUCAUAGAGGGUGAGAAUCCCGUCUGGGACGGGUGGCCGUGUCCGUGUGAAGCUCCUUCGACGAGUCGAGUUGUUUGGGAAUGCAGCUCUAAAUGGGUGGUAAAUUUCAUCUAAAGCUAAAUAUUGGCCGGAGACCGAUAGCGCACAAGUAGAGUGAUCGAAAGAUGAAAAGCACUUUGAAAAGAGAGUUAAACAGCACGUGAAAUUGUUGAAAGGGAAGCGCUUGCGACCAGACUCGCCCGCGGGGGUUCAGCCGGUACUCGUACCGGUGUACUCCCCCGGGGGCGGGCCAGCGUCGGUUUGGGCGGUCGGUCAAAGGCCUCCGGAAUGUGUCGCCCCCCGGGGCGUCUUAUAGCCGGAGGUGCAAUGCGGCCAGCCUGGACCGAGGAACGCGCUUCGGCUCGGACGCUGGCG
rnacentral:rRNA from 1 species